ACGAACGCUGGCGGCGUGCCUAACACAUGCAAGUCGAACGGAACUUUUUUAAAGGAUUUCUUCGGAAUGAAUUUGAUUAAGUUUAGUGGCGGACGGGUGAGUAACGCGUGAGUAACCUGCCUCUAAGAGGGGAAUAACAUUCUGAAAAGAAUGCUAAUACCGCAUAACAUAUAUUUAUCGCAUGGUAGAUAUAUCAAAGAUUUAUCGCUUAGAGAUGGACUCGCGUCCGAUUAGUUAGUUGGUGAGGUAAUGGCUCACCAAGACUGCGAUCGGUAGCCGGACUGAGAGGUUGAACGGCCACAUUGGGACUGAGACACGGCCCAGACUCCUACGGGAGGCAGCAGUGGGGGAUAUUGCGCAAUGGGGGAAACCCUGACGCAGCAACGCCGCGUGAAGGAUGAAGGUCUUCGGAUUGUAAACUUCUUUUAUUAAGGACGAAGAAAGUGACGGUACUUAAUGAAUAAGCUCCGGCUAACUACGUGCCAGCAGCCGCGGUAAUACGUAGGGAGCAAGCGUUGUCCGGAUUUACUGGGUGUAAAGGGUGCGUAGGCGGCUUUGCAAGUCAGAUGUGAAAUCUAUGGGCUCAACCCAUAGCCUGCAUUUGAAACUGCAGAGCUUGAGUGAAGUAGAGGCAGGCGGAAUUCCCCGUGUAGCGGUGAAAUGCGUAGAGAUGGGGAGGAACACCAGUGGCGAAGGCGGCCUGCUGGGCUUUAACUGACGCUGAGGCACGAAGGCGUGGGUAGCAAACAGGAUUAGAUACCCUGGUAGUCCACACAGUAAACGAUGAAUACUCGCUGUUUGCGAUAUACAGUAAGCGGCCAAGCGAAAGCGUUAAGUAUUCCACCUGGGGAGUACGCCGGCAACGGUGAAACUCAAAGGAAUUGACGGGGGCCCGCACAAGCAGUGGAGUAUGUGGUUUAAUUCGAAGCAACGCGAAGAACCUUACCAGGUCUUGACAUCCUACUAACGAGAUAGAGAUAUGUUAGGUGCCCUUCGGGGAAAGUAGAGACAGGUGGUGCAUGGUUGUCGUCAGCUCGUGUCGUGAGAUGUUGGGUUAAGUCCCGCAACGAGCGCAACCCUUGCUAUUAGUUGCUACGCAAGAGCACUCUAAUAGGACUGCCGUUGACAAAACGGAGGAAGGUGGGGACGACGUCAGAUCAUCAUGCCCCUUAUGACCUGGGCUACACACGUACUACAAUGGACAUAAACAGAGGGAAGCAAUACAGUGAUGUGGAGCAAACCCCUAAAAAUGUUCUCAGUUCAGAUUGCAGGCUGCAACCCGCCUGUAUGAAGAUGGAAUUGCUAGUAAUCGCAGAUCAGCAUGCUGCGGUGAAUACGUUCCCGGGCCUUGUACACACCGCCCGUCACACCAUGGGAGCCGGUAAUACCCGAAGUCAGUAGUCUAACCGCAAGGAGGACGCUGCCGAAGGUAGGAUUGGCGACUGGGGUG
rnacentral:rRNA from 1 species